rnacentral:pre_miRNA from 1 species
AUAAUACUCCCUUCGUUCGAAAAUACUUGUCGAAGAAAUAAAUGUAUGUAAAUGUAUUCUAGUUCUAGAUACAUUUAUUCUUAUCCAUUUCUUCGAUAAGUAUUUCUAGACGGAGGAAAUAUCAU